CCUACGGGAGGCAGCAGUGGGGAAUAUUGCACAAUGGGGGAAACCCUGAUGCAGCGACGCCGCGUGAAGGAAGAAGGUUUUCGGAUCGUAAACUUCUAUCAGCAGGGAAGAAGGAAGUGACAGUACCUGACUAAGAAGCCCCGGCUAACUACGUGCCAGCAGCCGCGGUAAUACGUAGGGGGCAAGCGUUAUCCGGAAUCACUGGGCGUAAAGGGUGCGUAGGCGGCCGAUUAAGCCAGGGGUGAAAGGCUACGGCUCAACCCCGGGAUUGCAUUUGAAACUGUCUUACUAGAGUGCAGGAGAGGAAAGCGGAAUUCCUAGUGUAGCGGUGAAAUGCGUAGAUAUUAGGAAGAACACCAGUGGCGAAGGCGGCUUUCUGGACUGUAACUGACGCUGAGGCACGAAAGCGUGGGGAGCGAACAGGAUUAGAUACCCUAGUAGUC
rnacentral:rRNA from 1 species